GACGAACCGUGCAAACGUUAUUCGGAAUCACUGGGCUUAAAGCGCGUGUAGGCGGGACGGCACGUCGGUCGUUGAAAUCCCCCGGCUCAACCGGGGAAGGGGCGCCGAUACGACCGUCCUGGAGGGGCGUAGGGGGACCUGGAACUUCCGGUGGAGCGGUGAAAUGCGUUGAGAUCGGAAGGAACGCCCGUGGCGAAAGCGAGGUCCUGGACGUUUUCUGACGCUGAGACGCGAAAGCCAGGGGAGCAAACGGG
rnacentral:rRNA from 1 species